rnacentral:rRNA from 1 species
AGUGAACGCUGGCGGUAGGCCUAACACAUGCAAGUCGAACGGCAGCACAGUAAGAGCUUGCUCUUACGGGUGGCGAGUGGCGGACGGGUGAGGAAUACAUCGGAAUCUACUUUUUCGUGGGGGAUAACGUAGGGAAACUUACGCUAAUACCGCAUACGACCUACGGGUGAAAGCAGGGGAUCUUCGGACCUUGCGCGAUUGAAUGAGCCGAUGUCGGAUUAGCUAGUUGGUGGGGUAAAGGCCCACCAAGGCGACGAUCCGUAGCUGGUCUGAGAGGAUGGAUCGGCCACACUGAAAUGGGGACACGGUCCAGACUCCAAGGGGGGGCGGCGGGGGGAAAAUUGGGACAUGGGCGCAAGCCUGAUCCAGCCAUACCGCGUGGGUGAAGAAGGCCUUCGGGUUGUAAAGCCCUUUUGUUGGGAAAGAAAAGCAGCAGGUUAAUACCCCGCUGUUCUGACGGUACCCAAAGAAUAAGCACCGGCUAACUUCGUG